GACGAACGCUGGCGGCGUGCUUAACACAUGCGAGUCGAACGGACCCUUUGGGGUUAGUGGCGAACGGGUGAGUAACACGUGGGUGAUCUGCCCUGCACUUUGGGAUAAGCCUGGGAAACUGGGUCUAAUACCGGAUAGGACUACGCACUGCAUGGUGUGUGGUGGAAAGCUUUUGCGGUGUGGGAUGGGCCCGCGGCCUAUCAGCUUGUUGGUGGGGUGAUGGCCUACCAAGGCGACGACGGGUAGCCGGCCUGAGAGGGUGACCGGCCACACUGGGACUGAGAUACGGCCCAGACUCCUACGGGAGGCAGCAGUGGGGAAUAUUGCACAAUGGGCGCAAGCCUGAUGCAGCGACGCCGCGUGAGGGAUGACGGCCUUCGGGUUGUAAACCUCUUUCGCCAGGGACGAAGCGCAAGUGACGGUACCUGGAGAAGAAGGACCGGCCAACUACGUGCCAGCAGCCGCGGUAAUACGUAGGGUCCGAGCGUUGUCCGGAAUUACUGGGCGUAAAGAGCUCGUAGGUGGUUUGUCGCGUUGUUCGUGAAAACUCACAGCUUAACUGUGGGCGUGCGGGCGAUACGGGCAGACUGGAGUACUGCAGGGGAGACUGGAAUUCCUGGUGUAGCGGUGGAAUGCGCAGAUAUCAGGAGGAACACCGGUGGCGAAGGCGGGUCUCUGGGCAGUAACUGACGCUGAGGAGCGAAAGCGUGGGGAGCGAACAGGAUUAGAUACCCUGGUAGUCCACGCCGUAAACGGUGGGUACUAGGUGUGGGUUUCCUUCCUUGGGAUCCGUGCCGUAGCUAACGCAUUAAGUACCCCGCCUGGGGAGUACGGCCGCAAGGCUAAAACUCAAAGGAAUUGACGGGGGCCCGCACAAGCGGCGGAGCAUGUGGAUUAAUUCGAUGCAACGCGAAGAACCUUACCUGGGUUUGACAUGCACAGGACGCCGGCAGAGAUGUCGGUUCCCUUGUGGCCUGUGUGCAGGUGGUGCAUGGCUGUCGUCAGCUCGUGUCGUGAGAUGUUGGGUUAAGUCCCGCAACGAGCGCAACCCUUGUCUCAUGUUGCCAGCACGUUAUGGUGGGGACUCGUGAGAGACUGCCGGGGUCAACUCGGAGGAAGGUGGGGAUGACGUCAAGUCAUCAUGCCCCUUAUGUCCAGGGCUUCACACAUGCUACAAUGGCCGGUACAAAGGGCUGCGAUGCCGUGAGGUGGAGCGAAUCCUUUCAAAGCCGGUCUCAGUUCGGAUCGGGGUCUGCAACUCGACCCCGUGAAGUCGGAGUCGCUAGUAAUCGCAGAUCAGCAACGCUGCGGUGAAUACGUUCCCGGGCCU
rnacentral:rRNA from 1 species